UACGAAGGGGACUAGCGUUGUUCGGAAUUACUGGGCGUAAAGCGCACGUAGGCGGAUUUGUAAGUCAGGGGUGAAAUCCCCGGGCUUAACCUGGGAAUGGCAUUUGGGACUGCAAGGCUUGAGUGCGGCAGAGGAGACUGGAAUUCCUGGUGUAGCAGUGAAAUGCGUAGAUAUCAGGAGGAACACCGAUGGCGAAGGCAGGUCUCUGGGCUGACACUGACGCUCAUGCACGAAAGCGUGGGGAGCAAACAGG
rnacentral:rRNA from 1 species